CCAAUGAGAUCGAGGUAAACGGUAGGCGGGUGGCCUUAUCGACGAGUUUAAGCUUGAAUUCACGAAUAGGAGUUCGUAUGAAUUCAUUGCAAGAGCGAAUGGAUGUUAGUCGUGGCUGUAGUAUCAAAGGAUAAAGAGAAAGUAAAGUGGUCUCUGGGAGACACUUGAGUGAUGAAUAGCCACGUGAGGAUUGGAGCUUGAAGAAAUUGCUCUUUUAUGGAUUGAGAUUCGAGAUGUGCUAGAGUGGGCUAUCUCGUGAUGGAGCAAGGAUCUAGUCGAGGAUUGAAGCACUCGUGAUUGGUCGAUGCAUCAACGAAAUUGCUUCUAAGCAAUGCCGGUGAUCGAAUCGGAGUGAAAUUUUCCGAUUGGGUGUAUAAUGCAAAGAGCAGUUCCUUGCAUGGUGGUAAUGCACUUUUGGACUUGCACAUAGCAAAUGUGAAAAUAUCUAGUCUCACAUCCUCCGAGGUGGGCCUUUGAACAGUUCUAAUAAGUGAAAGGCCACUCCGAAGUGGGAAAGUGCAUUGGAAUUUCCGAUUGCUCGAUAAGUCGAGUUAAGGAGUGAUUUGAGUUUCGGGGACGAAACUCUUAUUAAGAAGGGGAGAAUGUAAGAUACCGGAGUUCUAAAAUUAUGAGGUUACGGUGUCCAUUUGGUUGGAGAGCCAUUUGAACGGUUCCGGUGAGGUUGCGGUGUAAUGUAAUAUACCGGAUUUAAAUAUAAAAAAAUAGAAAUAAAUAAAAAUAGUAUGAGAUACUAUUUUUAUUGAAUUUAGAGAAGUGAAAUAUAAGUUGGGAAUGACCUGUGCUGAAAUCGGAAUUAAAACAGAAGAUUUAGAAUUUUCUGUUGGAAACGGGGCAGAUAAAUUAGCAGAAAAUGCACAGUCUCAGAAAAUUAUGAAAAUUGGCAGAGAUGUCAGAAAUAUUUUUAUGAGGCUAGAUUUAAGGUUUCAUAUUUUUCUGACACCCGUAGAGUGAGAAAUAAAAUCCGAAAGCUAUCUGAUAAAGAUUGCAGUUCGGUACAGUUUUCCUUUCAGUGACCAAACGGCGAAACUGAACCAGUGAUCGUCAGCCUUGUUAAGUUAAGUAGAAGACCGAACAUCGAAGAAACAAGGUAGCUCUGUGCGCGAAUUUUACUGUUAGGGGGGGCGGACUGGCCGCCUGAGUAUCUAAGUUGCUGCGAUUUUGGUUCUUAUGAACGUUAACAUUGAUUGUUCAAAAUUUACAACACGGAGAGGGAAAUAAUGGAACAAGUAUAAUUAGGUUUUAACCAUUUAUGGUUCGAGUGAAUGAGAAAAAGUGCUCGUUGCAAAGUUAUACGUUGGGACGCGGGCAACAGAGUAAAGUCUAAUAUUUUUUUCGGUGUUUGGUUCUUGUGAACGUCCACAUUGGAUUCGUUUCAAAUUUAACACUCUACGGCAUAAUAACAAUCAAUAUAUUAGGUUAUACUUGUUCGACUUGAAGAGUAGAAAAAGUGCUCGUCUGCAAAGUGUACUUGUUAGAUGACGGCAACAGAUUAGUCACUAAUCAUUUGCUUCCGCUUUUUGGUUAUUGUGUAACCGUUGACGAUCGAUUCGUUCCAAUUUACACUCUCGCGGCAUCAAGACACAAUAUAAGUUAGCUUUUACUUUUGUUCGAUAGAGAUGAGCAAAAAGCACUCGUUGGCCAUCUUAAAUCUGUUAGGCGGCAACUGAGUAGUCUAAUGUUGUUCGCGGCUUUGGUUUUUGUGAACGUCGACAUCCGAUAUCGUGCAAUAUUACACCUCGAGCAUAAUAGACAAAUUUUAUUAGGGCUUUUACUGCUUCGAUUUGAUAGAAUAAGAGAAAAAGCACGUCGUUGCAAUUUAUACUGUAGGGGGCGCAACUGAGAGCCUAAGUUGUUCCUGGUUUUGUUCAGAUGAACAUUGAACAUCGAUUCUCGAAAAUUACGCUCUCGGGGUGCCUAAAUAAGAACAUAUAAUCUAGCUUGUUUACUCUUUAUUGGUUGAGAUGAGAAAGAAGUACUCCGUUCGAAAUUUGAUACGGUUAGGGGUCGGAAAUGAGUAGUCUUAAUGUUUGUUCGCAUUUUGGUUCUUAUGACGUUAUCAUUGAUUCGUCUCCAAAAUUUGACACUAUACAGGGGCAUAAUAAAAAUAUAUAAGGUUUUAACUUUGUUUUGGCUGAAUGAGAAAAAGGUUGGGUGUAAAGUUAGGAGCUGAGGGGCGCGCACUGGAGUAGCCUAAUGUUGUUUUGUGUUUGGUUCUUAUGAAUAUUGACAUCAAUGGCGUGAGCAGAAUUUACGGCUUUCGGGGCAGUAAUAGAACAAAUAAAAAUUUAGCUUUUACUCUGUUGUUCGAUUGAAAAAAAAAGCACUCGUUGCGAAUUAUACUGUUGAGGCCGGGGACGGCAACUGAUAGUCUAGAUUAUUGUUCCGAUUUUGUUCUUAUGACGUUAACAUUGAUGUCGUCCAAAUUUACCAUCCCAGCGAUGGGCUUUAAUAGAACAUAUACAUUAGGCUUUAACGAUUGUUCGAAUUGAGUGAGAAAUGCUACGUUGCAAAGUUUUUACUGUAGGGGGUGUGAGGGGGGGGGGGGUCGUGGGCGGGGUGGGGCAGCGCGCACACGAGUAUCUAAUUAUUGUUUCCGGUUUUGGUUCUUGUGAACAUUCACAAUCUUUGAUUCUUCCAAAUUUACACUCUAGGGGCAUAAUACAACAAUAUAAUUAAGCUUUUUACUCUAUGUUCGAGCAGAAAACCAUGAGAAAAAGCACUCGUUGCAAUUGUUACAAUUGUUAUGGGCGCAACUGAGUAGUCUAAUGUUGUCCGGCUUUUGGUUUUUGUGAAGCGUCGACAUCGAGUGUCGUUGGCAAAUUAGCACUCUCGGAGGUCAUAAUAGAGGACAAUUUCUAUUAGCUUUACUCUUCGUUCGAUAGAAAUGAAAAAAGCAACUCGUUGCGCAAAUUUAAUACAUAUUAGUCUAAUAUUGUUCCGUUUUUGGUUCUGUGAACAUCUCACAUUGAUUUCGUUCCAAAAAUUUAAUCACUCUAGGGCGCAUAAAAGGGACAAUAUAAUUAAGCUUUUACUCUUGUCGAUCAGAAUGGAAAAACGCACUCGUUUGCCAAUUUAACAAUUGUUAGGCGGCAACUGAGUAGUCUACAUUUGUUCACGGCUUGUGGUGUUUUGUGAACGUCGACAUCGAUAUCGUUGGCAAAAUUACACUCUCGCGGGCAUAAUAGAACAAUUUUAUUACUUUUACUCUUCGUGGGUCGAUAAGAAUGAGGAAAAAGCACAUUCGUUGCCAAUUUAUACGCUAUUAGGGCGCAACUUCGUAGGGGCUUAAUUUUGUUCGGUUUUGUUCUAUGAACAUUGACAAUCGAUUCGGUGCAAAAUUUAUGCUCUCCGGGCUAAUCAGAACAUUACAAUUAGCGUGUGUGCUCUUGGUGCGAGUUGAAUGAGUAAAAAGUCUCGCUGCCAAUGUAUACUGUUAGGGCGCGCAACUGAGUAGUCUAAUGUGCUGGCCGAUUUGUUUCUAUGAAACGUUAACAUUGAUUUGUUCGCAAAUUUACACACCGAAAGGGGAAUAAUGGAACAAUAUACAUUAGGUUUUAAGCAUUUGUUCAGAUGAAUGAGAAAAAGUGCUCGUUGGGAAAGUUAUACUGUAGGGGGGGGCGCAACAGAGUAGUCCUAUAUUGUUUCGGUUUGGUUCUUGUGAACGUUCACAUUGAUGUCGUUCAAAUUUUACAACUCUAGGCGGCAUAAUACAACAAUAUAAUCUAGGUUUUAUACUUUGUUCGAUUGAAAGAGAUAAGAAAGUGCUGGUUGCAAAGUUGUACCUGUUAAGAGCCGCAACAGAUUAAGUCUAAUUAUGUUCCGCUUUUGGUUAUUGGAACGUGACAAUCAGUUCGUUCCAAAAUUACGACUCAUCGCGCAUGAAGAACAAAUAAUAAUUAGCUUAUUUACUUGACUUUUUCGAGUAGAAUGAGAAAAAGCACGUCGUUGCCAAUUUAAAGCGUUAGGGAGGAGGCGUAGUGGGGGGCGCAAUUGAGUAGUCUAAUGUUGUUCCCGGCUGUUGGUUUUAUGUGAACAGUCGACAUCGAUUGUGGCAAUAUUACACUCCUCGGAGCAUAAUAGGAACAAUUUUAUUACUUUUACUCUUCUUCGAUAGAAAGAGAAAAAAGACUCGGUGCCAAUUCAUACUGUUAGGGGGGGAGGGGGGCGGCAACUAGUAGCCUAAUCGUUGUCCGGUUUUGUUCAGAUGGAAUCAUUGACUAUCGAUUCGUCGAAAAUUUACGGCUCUGGCGGGCCCUAAUAGAAGCAAUGAUAAUUAGCUUUUACUCUUUAUUCGGUUGAAUGAGAAAAAGUACUCGUUGCAGCGAAUGUUAUACUGUUAGGGGGGGCGCAAAUAGUAGUCUAAUGUUGUUCCGAUUUGGUUCUUAUGACGUUGACAUUGAUUCGUCCAAAGUGUGAGCGAGCAUAAUGUGUAGGAGGUAACCGGACGUCUAAAACUGUGAAGUUAUGUGUACAAUGAUUUGGGGAAGCAAUUGAAUGGUCCCGUGAGAUAUGUAUACAUAACCAGAUUUUGGUAUAAGGAGAGGAGAAAAAAAAAAAAAAAAAAAACAAAAAAAAAAUAAUAGAUAAAUAAUAAUAGUGUGGAUACUAUUUUAUUGGAUUAGAGAAAUAAAAAAUAAGUCUUAUGAAUGGAGCUUGUGCUGAAAUCGAAUGAAAACAGAAGAUCGCUAUGAAUUUCUGUCAAUCGACAGGGCAGAUAAUUAGCAGAAAAUGCACAUAUCAAAAAUUAUGAAUAAUGGCAGAGAUGUCAGAAUAGUUUUAUAGGCUAGCUAUGAAGUUUAUAAUUUUUCUGACACCGGAGAAAAGUGUUGAAUCAGAUACCGAAAGUAUCUGAUAAAACGAUAUAGUUCGGUACACCGUUCAGUGACCAAACGGGGUCCGACAACUGGAUAAUAUAAAAUUCGUUGAGCGUCGUUCUCCAUGUGAAAACGCGUGAGCCACCUAUCAGAAGUUUGAGCUCAAACGACAUUCAGCGGAGCUUCCGCGAAAGAUAUCAGAUUUAAAAACUUGCCCGGAGGAUGAAUAGUGAUUUGAGGAUGUUGACUUUAUUAGAAGCUAAUUAGGCUUCUUCUCUUCUUUCUCCCACAGCCGCAUGCGCCGGCAAGCAUCACGCACUGGCAUGGGAGGGGAGAGAAACGGCCUUCUCUCUCUCUUAAAGAUCUCUCUCAUCUCUCUAUAUCUCUCGCGCGAGAUCGGGGUUUGGUGGAGAAGAUGUUCGAACUGCGUGGAGGGCGACGGAGGUCGCGAGGCUUCGUGCGGCGCGGUGGAGCGAUGUGUUUUUCGUCGCGGGCGUCACAUUUGGGUAAGCUUUGGAUUUUGUUUAAAUCCUUCAUGAAUGAUGUUCUGAGGUAGUAUCUAGAGGUGCUCUAACUGUUCUCGGUCCAUUUAAUUUGGCAUUAUUGGAGGACGUUAAUUGCAUAUUAUGGUUCAAAUGGAUUUGUGCAAAAUGGUGUGUUUGAUCUCAGAUUUGGACCCUCUUCGUAAACCUAAUUGUUAGGUAACGAAACGCGUUGGCGAAGACGUAUCGGUCGAUUCCGUCGAGGGGGCCACAAGAUAUUAAAGAAAUGGACCGUUGAGGUGUUGUUUCAGCUGUCCUGGAGAGGGCGAAGCGAACGUCGUAGAAAUCAAUGGAAAAUGGAUUUGAGGCAUCGCUGGCACAUAACCGAAAGACCUAUAAUUUUCGGGGAGUCUCUGCAAAGCGAGCACGUUGAGGCGCAGUUGCGAUAUCGGCCGUGCCGGUACAGGAUCCCGGCGGGAGGCCGAUCGGCAAGUGUCGCAAGCAAUCGAAUGCAAUAGCAGGUGAUUGUUGGUCGGGGCCGGGUGUGUUACCGGAAGCGACUUGCCGACAACCGCAGUGCGUUCAAAGCGGAAUCGUGGAACUGAUUGAGAUGCAUAAAUGAAUGUGCCAUAUGAAGCAUGUGAGUUUAUAGAUUAUGAUACAUGUAGGGAGAGCAUGCUAAAGAACAUGAACAUAUUAAGAACUUCAAGUCAUACAAAACUGUUAAAUGUAUGAACAUGUUACACUAGUAAGUUCAUGAUGACAUGUAUGCAGAGCAUCUAGAGAACAUGUGAGAUCAUGUUAGAUAAGGUUAAUGGCUAUAUAUAGAAAUGUUAUGCAAGUUGAGAGAUGAUGUGAAUUGCAUGCUACGGUGGUAAUGUGCAUAGAGGAAGUUGUAUGCAUUAGAGAAUGCAUAGUUAGAGGCAUGCAUAUUAAUUAUUAUGAAAAGAUGCGAGUGGCUUAAAGUAAUAUGAUUAUAGAACUUCGAUAUGGACAAUAGGUAUCGAAUACGAUCGAGUGGCAUGAACGCUAUGCGUCGUGAACUUAGGUGGAUAAGAAUCGACAAGGACCUAGUGUUAUGAGAAUAGGUCGAACAGGAAUACAUAUGAAACCUAGCUGUUGGAGAACAUAGUCGGAAUAUCGAACCUAGUGUCAGUGAACCUAGUAAUAUAAUAUAUAUAUAUAAGACCUUACGUGUUAGUGAACAUAGGUUGCAAUGAAACCUAGUGUCAGAGGGCCUAAUGAUGAAAAAAGAAAUGGUCAUGAACUUAGUGUUGAUGAAUCUAUUCGCAAAAGACAUCUUGAGAACAUAAGUCAUUAGAGACAUUUGGUUGAUUCGCUGAGGGAUUGAUGACCCUAGUUGACAGGUAAUCCUCGUGUGAGAGAUUGGAUCAUGCUCACGGUCGGUUAAAAUCUGUAGUGAAGCCGCCACACAAGUAAUGGCUUCGGAGUGGCACGUUAGGGACCUGCCAUAUUUGGGGUCCCGGCCCGAGGUCCUCGCGGGUCGUAAGUGGAGUAACCCUCCAACUGGCGAGAUGGCUAGUGAGAGCAAGUAGGCGCGAACGCUCGGGUUAGCCAUGAAUUUGGCUGAUCAAGGCAUAUAAAUUCCGCAUAGAGGUGGAUUUGGCACUCCCGCAGUUGAGUGGUGCUAAGGCUAGGGUCGUCAAUGUGAGGAUACGCGUGACUCCCUUCACCUCGAGCCGGGCUUAUCGCGGCAUUGCCGCGGGAUGGAUUGACGUCGAAGGAGCCGGUCCGGGUGCUAGCGUCAAUCAGGUAAAUGACACCGGUUAAAUUUGUUGGAUCUGAGUAUGAUAACAAAAUAUAAGUAGAACAACAAAAGGUGUUACUUAUGGUGAGGAUAUUUGCAUGAAUUACAUAGCAUUGGUCAUUGUUAGGAAAAUGCGAGGCAAGGUUAUGGUUUAUAAUUGCUGUUAUAUCUAUUUAUACUGUUUUAUUAAGGAGACUGCAGUUCCUCCUUUGAAGCUCUGUCGGACGGCCAUUUUUCCCUUGGUGGGGCCGUACCCACUGAAACUGCCAUGAGUUGGUUCUCACCCCCGUUGUUUUGGGGUUUUCAGGUUCACACGUGAGGGAGCGGGCGGCGGCGCGAGGCAAAAGGGCGUAGCGUCCAAUAGAUAGCGCCCUAACCCAGAGACCGAGAGGUAGCAGUACCAGUGUUGGGGCAGUCUAGCUUCGGGGCGAGUUAAGUUUAGAAUAGAAUGUAUCAAUAUUGUAAAUAAGCAAAAGUGUUGUAAUAUUCUAGAUUUGUAUUUGGAGGGAACUGUACCGUUGCAGGAAUCAGUUAGCAAUUGUGAUGUAUAAAUGAAUGUGCGAGGUGAAAUGAAUGUAAUAACCUUAGGGAUUGUUUUAUGUUGAUUGAUGGANNNNNNNNNNNNNNNNNNNNNNNNNUUGGUCACUAGAGAGGCAGCCCUGCUUGCUGCUCGGAUAGCCGCUUGUUAUCCGCAGGCGUACUCGGGGAUAGUCCAGCUCGACAUCCCUAGGAGAUUGAUAUGUGAGCCUUGCUUGUGAACCACGAGUUCACCUUGAGAUUGGGUUACCCAUUGAGCCAUACCCAUUGUUGUUGUUCAUGAUAGCUUGCUUCCAUAGUUGUUGUUGUUGAUCAUAGUUGCCUUUGGCUUACCGGCUGAUUGGGUGGUCUAGAGAAUAGCCCUAUUGAUGAACCUAGUGGUAUGGUAGUUAACCUUCACUAGACUUACCUUGAUAGCGAGCAUAGUCGCUUGGUAGUUGGUUUAGCGGAUUUGCCUAUAUACAGUGAGUGGGUAUACUAUUCCUUCACCUAUGAGAUUUGAGUACCUAUUGAGUCAUACUCAUUAUUGUUGUUCAUAAUAGCUUGCUUCCAUAAUUGUUGUUAUUCACCUCCUAGAUUUGAGAUCUUAGGCAAGUUAGCCUAGCGGAUUGGGUAAUAACAUGAAUAGCAUAAGAGUAUUGCAUUCAUACCUUGAUUAGACAUAGUGCAUUGCAUAACUAUGUUGUUGUUGUAUUUAUUUCACUGUUGAAGCAUAUUAGCAUGAUAGUAGAUUGUUGCUAGAUGAUGCUCCAUGCAUACUUUGCAUUUGAUGGCAUAGUAGAUAUAGUAGUAGUAUUUCCAUAUAUCUUUCUAUCUAUCUAUCUGUGCCAGCUUGGACCUAGUGGGAAGAUCGGCGGAGUCGGCGGCCGAACCCACUGGGAACUAUAUUUAUAUAGUUCUCACCCCGUGUGGUUGGUAUAGUACAGCAUGAGGAGCGGACCGGCAGAUGAUCGCAGCAGGCUAGCGCCCUACGUGCUAGUUGCGUAGAUGCUUCUCGUAUUGCAGUUAGUUGUCACCCUAUGACUACUUGAGUAGAUGAGCUAUAGGUAGGCUGUUUUGAGAAAAUGUGAAUUAAGUUUAUACUUUGGAUGAAUGUACGCUAAGUUGUAAAUUAAAUGUAUUAUCGAGUGAAUAGUUUAAUAGAAUAGUUACAGUAUUCUCUUUAUAUUUCACUUGUAUGUUUACCUACUGUGACGCCUGCUCUUUAUUGUUCAGCACUCGUUUGUGCUUUAGUCGUUUGUUGUAUGAUUGUGUAUCGUAUUCAGUGUUUUCCUGGGAACUUGUUGUACACGAAUCUCGUCAUUUGAAGGCCCUUGGCAGAAGGGAGAACUCUGUCCGUUCGGCCGGUCCGCCGCGCGCCGAACAUGCCAAAUCGUAGCGGCCGGGGCGUGUGGCUGACCAGUUGUGGUUCAAGAGCGAGUUAGAGAGCAAGACAAUAGAGAGAGUCUAGGACUGACCUACGGAGAACACCUAGGACAGGUGAACCUACAUUAUAGUGGCGUGAGGCGACGUGAACAAUCUAUACGGUGGCGGAGUGAGGAUCGAUUGAUCAAGUUUUGUAAAACCUCUAAGAGGAUACGUUAAGAGGUAGAUUCAGGUGUGGUAUUCUCAGCCAAGUGUGUUUAUGUUGCGCGCGACAACAUAAAACUGAUUGAUGAGAAUAGACGCCCUUGUGUGACUUUCGCCCGAUUGAGUGCGUUGUUUCGCUAUUGAGGCGAAGUUAAUGGGAUAGGUGAUUGGUUGGUGCCGGCUGGUUGCUGACAUUAGACCAAACACAGACUCGUGUUAGAGCGAUUGUUAGUUGCCGAGUACGGCACGUGGGCCUAAUAGAACCUCGAAAUGAGGUGGCGAGUUGUGCUUGUGUUGUCGGUGUGCAUAGGCAGAUUGCCUGAUGCUGGACUUCGUGUGAGACCUGUAGCGGACAUAGAGGCUCGAGUGUAGUAUCGUGAAGUGCGGUUUCGAUUCAGCCGGGAGUGAGUUGGCAAGUAGCACUUCAGCGCUAAGUGUGAAGCGAGGCCAUGAUACUACCGUAGGUGGUGGCUGCACUAGGUGCCUAGAAGCGUUAGAGUGCUGUAGGCUCUGAGAGCAAUGUGUGUAGGACGACGUUGGCCUGGGGUAGUGUUGGGGACGACCGUGCAUUGGACCCUUAUUAGGACUGUGGAGCCUGAGCCCAUUGGGCAGGCACAGUCAGCUGUGAGUGACAGCGCCCCGAUACCUACGGGUAGGGCAGAGAGUUUUGGUCAGGACGGUAGUCCGAGCUUAGAUCUGGGAGCGUGGAAUGCCACGUGUUAGAUCGUGAGAUUGAUGACACCGAGUGUGUAGUGACCCAACCCGAGGACUUGACGUGGUUUGGAGUCUUGGUUGCUCCUGGUUGGAGUGUGUGCGAAUUCUCCAAUGAGAGUGUCGCCCGAUGAUGAUUGGGUCUACGAAGCGAACGAGAGGCGCUAUGCGUAGUUGCGACAGGUUGGGCUGUAAGCCUACGUAGGACUGGUGACCUAUGGUUCACCAAUGAGAUCGAGGUAAACGGUAGGCGGGUGGCCUUAUCGACGAGUUUAAGCUUGAAUUCACGAACAGGAGUUCGUAUGAAUUCGUUGCAAGAGCGAUGUUAGUCGUGGCUGUAGUAUCAAAGGAUAAGGAGAGAAAGUAAAGUGGUCUCUGGGAGACACUUGAGUAAUGAAUAGCCACGUGAGGAUUGAAGCUUGAGGAAAUUGCUCUUCUAUGGAUUGAGAUUCGAGAUGUGCUGAGUGGGCUAUCUCGUGAUGGAACAAGGAUCUAGUCGAGGAUUGAAGCACUCGCGAUUGGUCGAUGCAUCAACGAAAUUGCCUCUGAGCAAUGCCGGUGAUCGAAUCGGAGUGAAAUUUCUCGAUUGGGUGUAUAAUGCAAAGAGCAGUUCCUUACAUGGUGGUAAUACACUUUUGGACUUGCACAUAACAAAUGUGAGCAUAUCCAGUCUCACAUCCUCCGAGGUGGGCCUUUGAACAGUCCAAUAAGUGAAAGGCCACUCCGAGGUGGGAAAGUGCAUUGGAAUUUUCGAUUGCUCGAUAAACCGAGUUGGAGUAUCGAUUGGGUUGAAGUGAGUUAGUUUCGAGGACGAAACUCUUUUAAGGAGGGGAGAAUGUAAGGUACCGGACUUCUAAAAUCAUGAGGUUACGGUGUCCAUUUGGUUGGAGAGCCAUUUGAAUGGUUCCGGUAAGGUUGCGGUGUAAUGUAAUAUACCGGAUUUAAAUAUAAUAAAUAAAAAUAAAUAAAAAUAGUAUGAGAUACUAUUUUUAUUGGAUUUGGAGAAGUGAAAUAUGAG
rnacentral:lncRNA from 1 species